rnacentral:lncRNA from 1 species
GUUUGCGUCGCGUCUGGGCGCACAGGACUGUACUUUUGGUAGCGGUGCGGGGCCGCCCGCGGACUUUAGCCCUGCAUAGAGAUGGGUAGACCCUAAUUUGGAACAGCCAUUGACUGGGCACAGGCCAGCACUUUGGGAGGCCGAGAGGCCGAGGCAGGAGGAUCGCUUGAGGCCAGGAGUGCCAGACUGCGAGACUAGCCUGGGUAACAUAGUGAGACCCUCUCUUCAAAAAAAAAAAAAAAAAAAAAAAAAAAAAGCCUGUCACGGUGGCCUGCGCCUGUACCCCAGCUACUCGAGAGGAUCGCCUGAGCCCAGUGAAGCUGCAGCGAGCUGUGAGGAUGCCACCGCACUCCGGCCUGGGCUAAAAAGCUAGAUCGUGUCUCUGAUAAAAGAAUAAAAGCUGUUUAUUGCAAUCCA